UACGAAGGGGGCUAGCGUUGUUCGGAAUUACUGGGCGUAAAGCGCAUGUAGGCGGACAUUUAAGUCAGUGGUGAAAUCCCGGGGCUCAACCCCGGAACUGCCUUUGAUACUGGGUGUCUUGAGUGUGGAAGAGGUAAGUGGAAUUGCGAGUGUAGAGGUGAAAUUCGUAGAUAUUCGCAGGAACACCAGUGGCGAAGGCGGCUUACUGGUCCAUUACUGACGCUGAGGCGCGAAAGCGUGGGGAGCAAACAGG
rnacentral:rRNA from 1 species